rnacentral:rRNA from 1 species
GGAGUGAACGCUGGCGGUAGGCCUAACACAUGCAAGUCGAACGGCAGCACGGUAAGAGCUUGCUCUUAUGGGUGGCGAGUGGCGGACGGGUGAGGAAUACAUCGGAAUCUACCUUUUGGUGGGGGAUAACGUAGGGAAACUUACGCUAAUACCGCAUACGCCCUUCGGGGGAAAGCCGGGGACCAGCAAUGGCCUGGCGCUGAUAGAUGAGCCGAUGUCGGAUUAGCUAGUUGGUGAGGUAAUGGCUCACCAAGGCGACGAUCCGUAGCUGGUCUGAGAGGAUGAUCAGCCACACUGGAACUGAGACACGGUCCAGACUCCUACGGGAGGCAGCAGUGGGAAUAUUGGACAAUGGGCGCAAGCCUGAUCCAGCCAUACCGCGUGGUGAAGAAGGCCUUGGUUGUAAAGCCCUUUUGUAGGUAAAGAAAAGACAUUACGGUUAAUACCCGGUGUUCGUGACGGUAACCAAAGUAAUAAGACACCGACUAACUUCGUGCCACGCAGCCGCGUAAC